rnacentral:rRNA from 1 species
AGUGAACGCUGGCGGUAGGCCUAACACAUGCAAGUCGAACGGCAGCACAGUAAGAGCUUGCUCUUACGGGUGGCGAGUGGCGGACGGGUGAGGAAUACAUCGGAAUCUACUUUUUCGUGGGGGAUAACGUAGGGAAACUUACGCUAAUACCGCAUACGACCUACGGGUGAAAGCAGGGGAUCUUCGGACCUUGCGCGAUUGAAUGAGCCGAUGUCGGAUUAGCUAGUUGGCGGGGUAAAGGCCCACCAAGGCGACGAUCCGUAGCUGGUCUGAGAGGAUGAUCAGCCACACUGGAACUGAGACACGGUCCAGACUCCUACGGGAGGCAGCAGUGGGGAAUAUUGGACAAGGGGCGCAAGCCUGAUCAAGCCAUACCGCGUGGGUGAAGAAGGCCUUCGGGUUGUAAGCCCUUUUGUUGGGAAAGAAAAGCAGCAGGUUAAUACCCCGCUGUUCUGACGGUACCCAAAGAAUAAGCACCGGCUAACUUCGU